GAAUUAUAAGUUUAGUUUAACAAUACUCAAAUACAUAUAAUUUGGUACAUGUGGUAGAAAUUAAAUCAUGUUAAAAAAAUAUCCUUUGCACUGCUGGAGUGGGUUUCUCGAAACAUAGGAUUUGGUUAAUAUGAUGCGACUUUUCACAGCCAUGUAACUGGAUGGUGCUGUGAUUGCGGAGAAAGGGUGAGGAGGUUGCUUCAUAUUUAAAUGGCUGCUGUAUAUUUCUUGUUGGAAUGAUGGGCUCCGGAAAGACUACAGUGGGCAAGGUUUUUUCUGAAGCACUAGCUUAUUCUUUUGUUGACAGAAUCCAACUUGUAUGCAGAAUGUAGCUUUAGAAUAUAUAAGGAGAAAAUCUCAUGUUUCUGAUACUGCUGAGGGUGUUGAGGAAGGAAAAUCUGGUACCGGUGACAUGCUUCCUCCAAAGAUGUAAUUUGGGAGGACCUAGGAGCUGGAGGCUCUAUUUUGGUGUUUUGUGCUUAAAUGUUUAUUCAAGCCAGGGGCUUUAUAUGUACUGAGCUUAUGACUCUCUUUCGUUAUAACCAAGCAAUGUUUUGGAAAGAUGUAAGCCCGUAGGGUAUUUAUUUUGUUAAUCAUU